CAAUAGCGUAUAUUAAAGUUGUCGCAGUUAAAAAGCUCGUAGUUGAAUUUUUGCUUGCCGCCGAUGUCGGAACUUCCGUACGUUCGGCGGCGUGCAUCCUUGGGUGGAACCUGUGUGGCAUUAGGUUGUCGUGCAGGGGAUGCUCAUCGUUUACUGUGAAAAAAUUAGAGUGUUCAAAGCAGGCUUACGCCGUUGAAUAUAUUAGCAUGGAAUAAUAAGAUAGGACCUUGGUACUAUUUUGUUGGUUUGCGCACCGAGGUAAUGAUUAACAGGGACAGUUGGGGGUAUUCGUAUUCCAUUGUCAGAGGUGAAAUUCUUGGAUUUCUGGAAGACGAACUACUGCGAAAGCAUUUACCAAGGAUGUUUUCAUUA
rnacentral:rRNA from 1 species